rnacentral:lncRNA from 1 species
UUGCUAUACUAAUGGUAGUACUUGAGAACUCCGUGCUAUUAAGUUAUUUUCGAUGAUACGGUUUCUAAAUCGACGAACAACUCCAUUAAACUUGAUCUACAUUAUUGAAAGUAUUAGGAAACUAAAUUUUAUAAUUUCUUAACAUUAGUUAUCUAUCAAAUGAGUAAUCUAAAAAUAAACGGUUAAAAAUAAAAAUCUCAUAAAAAAUGAUAAUAAAAGAAUUAAAUUUAAGAUUAGAGAUACUGAUCUUAUUCUAAAUAGUGAAAAAAAAAUUUUAUAAAAAUUUUAUCGGAUUUAGAUUGUUUUAUACUGUUAAAUUCACAAAUGCAUCACAUUGACCAUUAAAAUUGUCAAUUUUUACGCUCUUUUAUCACUAGCCAAAUAAUGUCGAAAAAUUAUAAAAUUUAGUUUCCAAAUACUUUCAAUAGUGUAGAUUAAGUUUAAUGGACCCAAUCAUUGAUUUGAAAACUAUAUCAUUAAAAAUAAUUUAGUAACACGAAAACCUUCAUGCUAUUGAUAGUAUAGCAGCCUAGCUCCUUAUUUAUGUAUGCUCAUAAAUCAGGUGAAAAAUAUAGCAAAUUUUAAAUUGUAGGGUAUUUUUUAGAUAGAGAUGUAGACUUAGAGGUGCCGUUUGGUUUGGAAAAAAGCUCAUCUCGUUUAUUCCUGAGAUACUUACAACUUUUGAAAUAAGCAGGAAUCAAACUAAUUUUGUCUUUGGAUGAGAAUUGAGUUAUUCUGUGGAAUAAGAAAAAUUGCGUUUGGAUGCAUGGUUAGAUUUGAAUAGUAGGAAUACGAGAAAUUAUAAUUGUAAAAUACAAAUAUUUUACCUAAUAAUAAGCAUAAAAGUAUUAAUAAAAUAAGAUUUUAAUAAGUUAAUUAUUUAGGCUUUGUUUGAGAUUUCGGGGAGAUUGCGUUAUAUUUGGUGAGAAAGUACGAUGAAAAAUACCCUAUUUGUUUCUGUAUAUAAUAUUGCGUUUCGCAUAUCGCGAUCAGUCGGUUUCGAUAUAUUUUCUGCGGUCAUACUAGAAGACGCAGAAGCUUAACCUUAAAUACUUUUACACCAACUCCAUUUUAUAUAAUACCGUCAGAUGGGCCUCAAUACCAAACUAACCCUUAGUUAAGUAAAAAAAUUGUAUAAGAUAUUGAGAAGCAUU